GUCAAGGAGACUUCAAAGAUGAGAAAUGAUUGCACUGGGCCUUAGAGAGGAAGUUCAGCAGAACAAGGUGGGAAGGGCACGAUAUCAGAGUAAGAGGCACUGAUGGUGAACAAAUAUAGAGACUGGAAUCCAGUGACGUCACACAGGCGCUCUGGAAGCCAGUGAUGCAGUAUCAGAAUCUGGGAACACAAUGAGGCAAUGUUUCAGCUGCUUGUGCAUUCUUCACCUCCCAUUGUCUCUGUCUCUCUCUUUCUCCUCUGCUUCCCCUCACCCCACAACCAAAGUCAAGAGCGCAGACCCCAUGAUCACCUGAUACUUCCAAGCAAGCAGGUGUUCUUUUCAGAAGCCAGAAGCUGAUAACCUGGGCUUUCUGAUCUAACCCCAGCCCAAAUUCAUUGCAAUGGAGGAAUUGGGGAGGAGAUUCUUCCUACUGAGAAGUGGGUGCCAACUCUCCCUUUCAAAUUUGUUCAUCAACAAACUAAAGGGGAUGCCAGAAAUGUCUGGAGCAAUGGAAGAACCACUGGAAUAAUGCUCCUGCCUGAUUGUAUCUACUUAACCCACUCUCCAAGAGCCAGAAUCAGAUUUCAACCGUAUGGAAUCAUCUACAAUGCAGCAGAUGGGUUUACAAGUCUCUUGGUCUCUUCAUGAAGAAGGCGCAGCAAUCGUGUCCCAAGUCCUUGAGGACUUCACAGGGUGUUCUAGUGUCCUGAGAAUAUACCUGCCUAAGGGACUCAUCAUUAAAAAGGAACAAAGAGGCCCUAACCCAACCUCAAAGAGAAGGAAAAGGACCUUUUUCUAAAUGGAAGAAUUCUUUUGUAAGAAACGAGGAAGAGUUAGAACAAGCAUCUGCAUAGCCUGGGAAGGGCCACUCUCUCCCAAGGCAUGCUGCCGCUUGCCUCUGAUGUCUGGACGCAAACAGCAGAUCCUCAAUCUGCUCCAGGGUGUUAGUGCCAACCCUGACCUAGUGAGCUUACUCCUUUCUCUUGGGCUUAGGCACAUCUUGAAAGGGGAGAUAGGGAUGACUCUGUGCAUCAGUCCCUCUGUCUGGUCCAGUGGACCUUGUCCUUAUGAUGGCCUGUGAAAAGAUCUUAGUUUCUGAGCAGUUAUGCAAGUUGCUCAAAGCCUUUGAGAUGUCCCCCAGAAGCUGAGUGUAGAAGCAGUUCCACCACCCAGCCUGCAUUAUCUACACAAGACAAUUAGGCAGGGCUCUGGGAACACUCUAAGGGCCAGGGAUUAGGGAGAGAAUCAACCUUGCAGCGCCACCGGUUUGGGGAGGUCAUCACCACACUGCCCUGCCUCUAUCUAAGGAGUGUCUGAGCCCUGGAAAAGCCGCACUCAUGGCUGUCCUGUGGAAUCCUGGAAAACACCAUCCAAACAGGAGAAAAAGCCUGAAAUGAGGGAGAGAGGUUUCCCUUCAGCCCUCUGAGGAAAGUAGAACACAGAAACCCUGGACUGAAGGGGCCCCCAAGUUGGCCUGUGCUAUCCCCAACUGCUCCUCUCUGGAUGCUUCCCACCCUUAGAUUAAACCUUGCUUAUUGACCCCAUAGAGGCUUCAUGUUCUCUCCCGGCUCCUCCCAAAUUGCCCACUGGAAUGUACGUGAUGAGGUCAUUUGUAGUAAGCUACAACUUUUGUGGUUACCCCUGGCAGGGCUAUUUAUACCAUGAUAGGAAAUAAAGUCUGUGUAGAACACACUAGUGCUGGUGAUCUCUUUGGGGAAACAGGGGUCAAGGAGGUUGCUCCAAGAGCAUGACAGAGUGGGAAGAGGACAGAUGUGAGAGUGAGAGGCUUUGGUUAUCAACUGGCUCUGCAGUUAACUUGUUGGCUGGCCUGAGAAAAUCUCCUAAAUGCUUGGGCCUCCAUUUCCUCCUUUGUGAAAUAACGUUAAAGUCCCAACUUCCCAACAUGGUUCAGGAUGAAAAUACGCAAAGUGCAUUAAGCAUUGUUAUAGACAGACUGUUUAUGUUCUACCCCAUUCAUAUGUUAAAUCCUAAUGCUCAGUGUGAUGGUAUUUGGAGGUAAGACCUUCAGUGAAGCCGUCCUAACAGGGUUAACAAGAAUUCUGGACAGGGCUGGGCACGGUGGCUCAUGCCUGUAAUCCCAACACUUUGGAAGGCCAAGACAGGCGAAUCGCUUGAGUCCAGGAGCUUGAGACCAGCCUGGACAACAUGGCAAAAUUGCAUCUCUACAUAUGAAACAAACCUGCAUGUUGUGCACAUGUACCCUAGAACUUAAAGUAUAAUAAAAUAAUAAUAAAAAAAACCCACAAAAAUUGGUCAGAAAUGGUGGUGCAUGCCUGUAGGUCUCAGCUAAUUGGGAGGCUGAGACGAGAGCUGGAGGCGGAGGUUGCAGUGAGCUGUAAUGGUGCCACUGCACUCCAGCCUGGGUGACAGAGAGAGAUCCCAUCUCAAAAAGAAAAAAAAGAUUCUGGACAGAAAUAUAAUUAAGCAUUAAUCAGGCUGCCCUUUGACCCACUUCCUUGUGAUAGAAAGUCACAUAGCACUAGAUACUGACCAUUUGCAUUCCCAUUGUUUCUGUAGAUAGGAUUUCUGAUAUUAGAAUCACAGGGCUUUUAAGAAUUUCUGACAUUAGAAUCACAAGGCUUUUAAGAAUUGCAAGUAGAUCCUGAAUUCCAGCAGAACGGGUGAUGCCAUCCAAUGUGAAGACCUCCACAGAAUGAAAUCAGCGUGAGACUACAGUUUCUUCAUCUCCCUCUUCCAUGAUUUCACCCUCUGUACUUUGACCAAUUGAUAUGGUUUGGCUGUGUCCCCACCCAAAUCUCAUCUUGAAUUCCCACAUAUUGUGGGAGGGACUCUGUGGGAGGUAAUUGAAUCAUUGAAUCACAGGGGCAGGUCUUUCUCAUGCUGUUCUCGUGAUAGUGAGUAAGUUUCAAGAGAUCUGAUGGUUAUUAUAAGGGGGAGUAUUCCUGCACAAGCUCUCUUUGUUUGCUGCCAUCCAUGUAAGACAUGACUUGCUCCUCCUUGUCUUCCUCCAUGAUUGUGAGGCUUCCUCAGCCACAUGGAACUCCAAUUAAACCUCUUUCUUUUGCAUAUUGCCCAGUCUCAGGUAUGUCUUUAUCAGCAGUGUGAAAACAGACUAAUACACCCAUCAACUGUCUUUGUACUUUGGCCCACUCCAAAAUCCUUAAAAUCCUAGCUCUAAAUUCCUUGGGAGAAAGAUUUGAGGUCUUCUCCCAUCUCUUCAUCCCUCCCUGUGAUUAAACCUCUUUCUCUGCUGCAACCUAGUGUCUUGGUUUGUUGACUUGCCAUGCACAUCAGGCAACAGACCCAUUACGAUUGCAUUCGGAGUUGAUUAGGACAUGAGGGGAAUCCUCAUGAUGAGAUUAGUGCCCUCAUCAAAGAGGCCCCAGAGAGCUCCGUUGCCCCUUCUGCCACGUGAGGACAGUGAGAAGACAGCCUUUUAGGAACUAGGAAACAGGCCCUUACCAGACACCAAAUCUGCCGGUACCUCGAUCAGGGACUUCCCAGUUUCCAGAACUGUAAGAAAUAGAUGUCUUUUGUUUAUAAGGUAUUCAAUCUACAGUAUUUUGUUACAGCAGCCCAAGCUGACCAAGACAAGCACAUAGCCCACCACUGUGUCUGGGAAGUCAGAAUUACAAAUGGAUCUAUGUGCUCAUUCCUUCCUUCAUUCCUUUACUCAACUGCUCACAAAAUCGCUCCUGAGGCCCCUUUUUCAUCCACUUGUAGGCCAUCCUUGAAUCAAAGCCCCAGGCCUUUGCAUGCAUAAAACUCCAUGUCUUGAGUCAGCACUUCGCACCCAUCUCUUUAGGAAAGCAGAAAGGCCAGCCGUCAGAGACAGAGUUUUCCAGAGGACUGACUGGAAGGGGUGGGGGCCUGAAAGGAGAGAGUCUUAAGCACCAGCUUAAUCUCAUUUAGGUCUUGUCUCUGGGCGGCUGAGGAGGCUGUUUUUAGCUUCUUCCAAAUGAGCUUCCUGCUAAGUUUCCCCUGAGACCUGGCACUGGCUCUACUCACACUUCCAGCUUGGGGAAGACAAAGAUCCAGGAAGGGCUGGGCAGCAGGUGCCCUGGAACCCCCGGAAGGCUGUGGCAGAGGGUGAGGCCAGGGUAGCAUUGUGGGGAAAGGAAGGAGACUGGGCUGGGUCUGGCUUGAAUCCCAGCUUUGACACUCGCCCAGCCCUGGGUGGCCUUGAGAAGACUUACUGGGCCUCUUUGGUUUUCUCAUUUUAAAAUAUCAAUCACAGCAUGCCUAAAGUGCC
rnacentral:lncRNA from 1 species